rnacentral:rRNA from 1 species
UUCCUGAUUUUGAUUUUUCAUGUUAUCCAUGGUAAUUGUUUUUACUUUCUUCUGUUUUUCAUUUAGAAAUGUUUCUGUUUUACGUUGGUAUUAACCAUUGAUGUGGAGUGGUUAGGAAGAGAUAGAAAUGGUUAUGUUCUUGAUGAACAUAAAGACAUAUGAGUUAAUAUGACUUUAGUAUGUGCUAUUUCUUAUUAGUUAUAUAAUUAUUCUAUUAUAUUUCUGUGCCAGUUGAGACGGUAAUACAGGUAGAAUUUCUUCCUUUUUAAAGGAAGAAAAAUGUGUUUUUUCUCUAGCUUUUAAAAAGAAAAUCAAGUAGUUUAUGAUGUACCAUAAAGAAAUGUUUUCCUUUAAUUAAUCAUUAUCUUUUUCAGUCAACAAGAUGUUAUUUGGUUCUAUGGUGAUCCAAUAGAGCGUGCUGUAACUAGCUUAUUAUUUUAGUAAAGAGCUGCAUGACCAUUCUGUGCUUAAGAUUUUAGUCUGAUUUGGUGACAUGGCUGAAUAUAAGUUUACACCAUGGAUCAUUAUUUAUUGUAAAAGGGUAAUUGGUAAUUGAUAAGUAGUUUUUCUUAGUGUAAA